AUUGAACGCUGGCGGCAGGCCUAACACAUGCAAGUCGAGCGGAUGAAGGGAGCUUGCUCCUGGAUUCAGCGGCGGACGGGUGAGUAAUGCCUAGGAAUCUGCCUUGUCGUGGGGGAUAACGUCCGGAAACGGGCGCUAAUACCGCAUACGUCCUGAGGGAGAAAGUGGGGGAUCUUCGGACCUCACGCUAUCAGCUGAGCCUAGGUCGGAUUAGCUAGUUGGUGGGGUAAAGGCCUACCAAGGCGACGAUCCGUAACUGGUCUGAGAGGGUGAUCAGUCACACUGGAACUGAGACACGGUCCAGACUCCUACGGGAGGCAGCAGUGGGGAAUAUUGGACAAUGGGCGAAAGCCUGAUCCAGCCAUGCCGCGUGUGUGAAGAAGGUCUUCGGAUUGUAAAGCACUUUAAGUUGGGAGGAAGGGCAGUAAGUUAAUACCUUGCUGUUUCGACGUUACCAACAGAAUAAGCACCGGCUAACUUCGUG
rnacentral:rRNA from 1 species